rnacentral:rRNA from 1 species
UACGUAGGGGGCAAGCGUUGUCCGGAUUUAUUGGGCGUAAAGAGCUCGUAGGCGGUUUCGACAAGCCGACGGUGAAAUCUCCACGCUCAACGUGGAGGGGUCCUCGGUACUGUCGUGACUAGAGUCCGGUAGGGGAGUGUGGAAUUUCCGGUGUAGCGGUGAAAUGCGUAGAGAUUUGGAGGAACACCAGUGGCGAAGGCGACUUUCUGGUCUGUAACUGACACUGAGGCGCGAAAGCGUGGGGAGCAAACAGG